rnacentral:rRNA from 1 species
GGUCGAGUCUGACGGAGCACGCCGCGUGAGUGAUGAAGGUUUUCGGGUCGUAAAACUCUGUUGCUAGGGAAGAACGCCUGCGAGAUUAAUUGCCCGGAAGGUUGCCGGACCCGAACCGAAAACCCCGGGCUAAUUACUGGCCACCACCCCCGGUAUUACUUAGGUGGCAGCGUUUUCCGGAAUUAAUUGGCCGUAAAGGGCGCCCAGGUGGUUUCUUAAUUGGGAGGUUAAACCCCACGCUUCACCCUGGGACGGUCCUUGAAAAGUGGGAGACUUGUAUGCAAAAGAGGAAAGUGAUUUUCGUGUGUAGCUGAGAUGUGCAUAGAUGUGUAGGGGACACCUGGGGCAAGCGAGAUUUUCGGGUGUGUAUGUGACUCAGGGGCGCAAACGCGUGGAGAGCAAACGAUUUUAUAUCCCGGGAUACUCACCCCAUAAAAUAUAAGUGCUAUGUUUUAGGGUUUUCUCGCCCUUGUGUGCAAAUUUUACAUUUUACACUCCCCCCGGGAGGAA